AUUGAACGCUGGCGGCAGGCCUAACACAUGCAAGUCGAACGGUAACAGGAAGCAGCUUGCUGCUUCGCUGACGAGUGGCGGACGGGUGAGGAAUGUCUGGGAAACUGCCUGAUGGAGGGGGAUAACUACUGGAAACGGUAGCUAAUACCGCAUAACGUCGCAAGACCAAAGAGGGGGACCUUAGGGCCUCUUGCCAUCGGCUGUGCCCAGAUGGGAUUAGCUAGUAGGUGGGGUAACGGCUCACCUAGGCGACGAUCCCUAGCUGGUCUGAGAGGAUGACCAGCCACACUGGAACUGAGACACGGCCCAGACUCCUACGGGAGGCAGCAGUGGGGAAUAUUGCACAAUGGGCGCAAGCCUGAUGCAGCCAUGCCGCGUGUAUGAAGAAGGCCUUCGGGUUGUAAAGUACUUUCAGCGGGGAGGAAGGGAGUAAAGUUAAUACCUUUGCUCAUUGACGUUACCCGCAGAAGAAGCACCGGCUAACUCCGUG
rnacentral:rRNA from 1 species